ACAACCUUACUUGAACAGGAUCUGUUCUAUUUGCUCAUACCUCUGUAUCCUUGAGUUUAAAGGAGACAGGAACCUAAGUCUGGUUGAUGAGACAUGGCCGUGCGACCAGAGCGUGAUUAACAGCCCUGAUGAGACUCAUUUGGGAACCAUCAAGCAGUAGAGGAUCGUUCUGGUUGUUGGUUCCAACCUUGGGGUGGUCGCACGGUUGUCUGACAGACU